rnacentral:rRNA from 1 species
CCCUUAGAUGUUCUGGGCUGCACGCGCGCUACACUGAUGCGCUCAACGAGUUUCUUCCUGGUCCGAGAGGAAUGGGUAACCUUUUGAAAGUGCAUCGUGAUAGGGAUAGACUAUUGCAAUUAUUGGUCUUCAACGAGGAAUUCCUAGUAGACGUAGUUCAUCAGACUGCAUCGAUUACGUCCCUGCCCUUUGUACACACCGCCCGUCGCUCCUACCGAUUGAAUGCUCAGGUGAGCCAUUCGGACUUUCAUCAUGCUGGUUUCCAGUUUUGAUGAAGGAAAGUCUUGCGAACCUUAUCAUUUAGAGGAAGGAGAAGUCGUAACA